GGGGUGCUGUGGGGGUUCUGACCAGAGAAACAAAUGGACCACAACCUGUAGCUGCAGACAUUCAGAAUGCAACUUCAUGCUGAUGCAGGAAUGGCUGUAUCAGAGGUGAGAAGGUCUUGCCAAGGGGAUGUUUCUGAGCUGAAAGAUGAGGCGAGCAAAGGUGUGCAUGGACCCGAAGUCAACAGGAGGACCUGGAUCUGGCUGAGAUUUGGUGACGGAAAGUGCUGGACCUUGUCUCGUCAAGCAUAAUUCUGGCUGCUGGUCAUACACAUGGCUGGAGUGCAUGAACAUGGUUAAUCAGAUGAGCAGGAACACCUAGUCAGCAGAAGAGGGGACAGAUCCAUGGAUGAA